rnacentral:rRNA from 1 species
GACGAACGCUGGCGGCGUGCUUAACACAUGCAAGUCGAACGGAGUGCUCAUGACAGAGGUUUCGGCCAAUUGAUUGAGUUACUUAGUGGCGGACUGGUGAGUAACGCGUGAGGAACCUGCCUUUCAGAGGGGGACAACAGUUGGAAACGACUGCUAAUACCGCAUGACGCAUGACUGGGGCAUCCCGGACAUGCCAAAGAUUUUAUCGCUAGAAAGAUGGCCUCGCGUCUGAUUAGAUAGUUGGCGGGGUAACGCCCACCUAGUCGACGAUGGAUAGGGGUUCU